rnacentral:rRNA from 1 species
GGAUUAGAUACCCUGGUAGUCCACGCCGUAAACGAUGAUCACUAGAUGUGGGAUGAGCUUUGCUCGUUCCGUGUCGAAGCUAACGCGUUAAGUGAUCCGCCUGGGGAGUACGGUCGCAAGAUUAAAACUCAAAGGAAUUGACGGGGGUCCGCACAAGCGGUGGAACAUGUGGUUUAAUUCGACACUACGCGAGGAACCUUACCUAGGCUUGACAUGCACGUGAUCACACUCCAAAGAGUGUUUUACUUGUUUACAAGUACAGGUGCACAGGUGCUGCAUGGCUGUCGUCAGCUCGUGUUG